rnacentral:rRNA from 1 species
UACGGGGGGAGCAAGCGUUGUUCGGAUUUACUGGGCGUAAAGGGCGCGUAGGCGGUCAGCACAAGUCAGUUGUGAAAUCUCCGGGCUUAACUCGGAAAGGUCAACUGAUACUGUGCGACUAGAGUGCGGAAGGGGCAACUGGAAUUCUCGGUGUAGCGGUGAAAUGCGUAGAUAUCGGGAGGAACACCUGAGGCGAAGGCGGGCUACUGGGCCGAUACUGACGCUGAUGCGCGAAAGCCAGGGGAGCGAACGGG